rnacentral:rRNA from 1 species
GACGAACCGUGCGAACGUUGUUCGGAAUCACUGAGCUUAAAGGGUGCGUAGGCGGGCGAUCAAGUCAGGGGUGAAAUCCUCCAGCUCAACUGGAGAACUGCCUUUGAUACUGGUCAUCUCGAGUAAGGUAGGGGCGUGCGGAACUGAUGGUGGAGCGGUGAAAAUGUGUUGAUAUCAUCAGGAACUCCGGUGGCGAAAGCGGCGCGCUGGCCUAACUGACGCUGAUGCACGAAAGCUAGGGGGAGC